rnacentral:rRNA from 1 species
UACGUAGGGGGGCAAGCGUUGUCCGGAUUUAUUGGGCGUAAAGAGCGUGUAGGCGGCUAUACAGGUCCGUUGUGAAAACUGGAGGCUUAACCUCCAGACGUCGAUGGAAACCGUAUGGCUAGAGUCCGGAAGAGGAGAGUGGAAUUCCUGGUGUAGCGGUGAAAUGCGCAGAUAUCAGGAAGAACACCCCGUGGCGAAGGCGGCUCUCUGGGGACGGUACUGACGCUGAAGACGCGAAAAGCGUGGGGGAGCGAACAGG